GGUGCGGAACACGUGUGCACUAGCUUUAUCUGGGGGAUACGCCUUUCGAAAGGAAGCAUUCAACUACCCCAUAAUAUGUUGAAUGGCAUCAUUCGACAUUGAAAACUCCGGUGGAUAGAGAUGGGCACGCGCAAGAUCAGAUAGUUGGUGAGGUAACGGUCACCAAGUCUACGACCUUUAUCGGGGCCUGACAGGGUGAUCCCCCACACUGGUACUGAGACACGGACCAGACUCCUACGGGAGGCAGCAGUGAGGAAUAUUGGACAAUGGGUGAGAGCCUGAUCCAGCCAUCCCGCGUGAAGGACGACUGCCCUAUGGGUUGUAAACUUCUUUUGUAUAGGGAUAAACCUACCCUCGUGAGGGUAGCUGAAGGUACUAUACGAAUAAGCACCGGCUAACUCCGUGCCAGCAGCCGCGGUAAUACGGAGGGUGCAAGCGUUAUCCGGAUNAUUGGGUUAAAAGGGUCCGUAGGCCGGAUCUGUAAGUCAGUGGUCGAAAUCUCACAGCUUAACUGUGAAACUGCCAUUGAUCACUGCCAGGUCUCGCAGUGCCGGCGGAAAGGUCCNCUGGGAAUAAGUAAGGGUAACCGNGUGGAACACG
rnacentral:rRNA from 1 species